rnacentral:rRNA from 1 species
CAAGGACCAUGUGUUUAACGGCCGCGGUAUCUUAACCGUGCGAAGGUAGCGUAAUCACUCGUCUUUUAAAUAAAGACCCGUAUGAACGGUAAAACGAGGGCUUAGCUGUCUCCUUUUUCAGGUCAAUGAAAUUGAUCUUCCCGUGCAAAAGCGGGAAUUAUAACAUAAAACGAGAAGACCCUGUGAAGCUUUAAACACCAAGACAGCCCCCGUCAAAACCCCCUAAUAAAGAACUAAACAUCAAACCCUGUCUCAACGUCUUCGGUUGGGGUGACCGCGGAGAACCAUUAAACCCCCGCGUGGAAUGGGGGCACAGCAUAUGAUUAUACCCCCAGAGCCAAGAGCCUCCACUCUAAUACACAGAAUUUCUGACCUUACAUGAUCCGGCAACGCCGAUCAACGAACCAAGUUACUCCAGGGAUAACAGCGCCAUCCUCUUCCAGAGCCCCCAUCGACAAGAGGGUUUACGACCUCGAUGUUGGAUCAGGACAUCCUAAUGGUGCAGCCGCUAUUAA